AUUGAACGCUGGCGGCAGGCUUAACACAUGCAAGUCGAACGGUAGCAGGUAAGUACUUGUACUUAUGCUGACGAGUGGCGGACGGGUGAGUAAUGCUUGGGGAUCUGGCUUAUGGAGGGGGAUAACGACGGGAAACUGUCGCUAAUACCGCGUAGAAUCGGGAGAUGAAAGUGUGGGACCUUCGGGCCACAUGCCAUAGGAUGAGCCCAAGUGGGAUUAGGUAGUUGGUGGGGUAAUGGCCUACCAAGCCGACGAUCUCUAGCUGGUCUGAGAGGAUGACCAGCCACACCGGGACUGAGACACGGCCCGGACUCCUACGGGAGGCAGCAGUGGGGAAUAUUGCGCAAUGGGGGCAACCCUGACGCAGCCAUGCCGCGUGAAUGAAGAAGGCCUUCGGGUUGUAAAGUUCUUUCGGUGACGAGGAAGGUUGUUGUGUUAAUAGCGCAACAAAUUGACGUUAAUCACAGAAGAAGCACCGGCUAACUCCGUGCCAGCAGCCGCGGUAAUACGGAGGGUGCGAGCGUUAAUCGGAAUAACUGGGCGUAAAGGGCACGCAGGCGGACUUUUAAGUGAGGUGUGAAAUCCCCGGGCUUAACCUGGGAAUUGCAUUUCAGACUGGGGGUCUAGAGUACUUUAGGGAGGGGUAGAAUUCCACGUGUAGCGGUGAAAUGCGUAGAGAUGUGGAGGAAUACCGAAGGCGAAGGCAGCCCCUUGGGAAUGUACUGACGCUCAUGUGCGAAAGCGUGGGGAGCAAACAGG
rnacentral:rRNA from 1 species